rnacentral:lncRNA from 1 species
UCACGAAAAGACCCCUUCCAGUGCUCAUAAAAUAGACUGAAAAACUUCGGUGUAAAUUAUUCCCAUACUAUAAACUACAUCUAAAGCUGACUUAAAAAGAUCUAAUGUUUAUUUAUAACAAUGAAGGUGAUCAUUUUUUUGGAAAAGUAAACAAAUAACGCUUCUGAAUUGAAGUAAUCUUCAAUUUUGUCUUUUAUUGGCUAUGAAAAUUAUUUAUCUCCAAUAUAACACUUUAUACUAAAUAUAUAUGAGCAAUAAAUUCAGAUGUAAUCGAAUUUGUUUAAACACAGUAGCUCUUUAUCGAAAUGAUACAGUCCUUCACAAUUGAAUAAAUAAACAUUUUAUGAAGAUUAUCAAUACAGAAAUAAGAAAGGCACUCGAAACCACAGUGUGAAUGGUAACCAGCGUGCAGACAAAUGCUUAACAAUCUGUGUGAAUCAGUGAGACUACAGCAACAAUACAGAGAUAGACAAUUUUUAUCAAAGUAAAUACCACUAAUCUCUGACCCUAACAUUUCCAUUGUUGUGAGCUAAAUGCCGCUCUAACAUUUAUUAAAAUUACGCGUUUAUCUUGGAUUUGUGUAAAACCAUCAAAUGAAUUUUGUGAAAAGUCUGAAUCACUAUAUGAUAAAGCUUGCGUUUUAGUUACCAACAGGUUAGGAUUCGGAAAGGAUUUGGAAAUUAAAAUACAUCAAACAAGUAUCUGGGGAGCCUAUGAUAAAUUGUCACCUAAUAGAUUGAAAACAUGUAGCAUUUAUAAAAAAUGACAUUUUAUUAAGAAGACAAAUGCAGUUUUGGAAUUUAACUAUAUACGCUUUCAUGUGAAUAUUUGUGUUUCGAUUUAGCGUGAUUUUAAAUCACAUGGCGACUUUCCGAUGUGUCCAAGAGGACAGAAUUUCAGACAAACACAGAGGGUAGCCAAGUAGACCAACGCCUUCUGCAAGCUAGCUGCAUGAAAUUUGGGAAGAAAAUGGAUGCUAUAGUGAUGGAGUUCGAGAGGAAAAUUGUGGCAAGGUAUGUGUAAUGCAGACACGUAGGGCAGAGAUGGACUUCGAGAGAAAAACUAAGGCAAUGUUAGUGUAGAACAGACACGGAAUUCGUGAAGAAUCGUAAGGCAAAGUAAGUGUAGGAACUCGAGAGGAAAAUUGAGGCAUUGUAAAUGUAAGGCAGAGAUGGCCUUCGAGAGAAAAAACUGAGGUAAUGUUAGUGAAGGGCAGAAACGGAAUUCGUGAGGAAUCUUAAGGUAAUCUAAGUGUUUGGGAGCGACGUGAAGACAACAGAUUCAGGCAACGUAGGUGUAGUGCAGCGACGCCUAGACGAGAAAGAAAUGGAUCAAAACUGAUGGAGCAUAGACAGCUAUGACUAAAACAUUAACUAACAACACAAGAUCCUAGUAUUAUAUGUUUAUCAGAAACAUGUUCAUCAAAAUAGUAAUAUGUUGUGCAGGCUUCUUAAUAGUUUCUCAAUAGUUCUGAUUCCCAUCUCAAUGACGGAACGUCCAUUAUCAAUGUUAUGCCCAAGUUCGUAUUUGUCACAUAUCCGAUUCGUUUAUUUAAACUUUUACAUGACAAUAUGACGAAUAGCAUACAUUUUUACAAGAAAGUUAAGCAUAGAUAAAAUAUUUCUAUGCGGUUAUCACGCCAAACCUGACACACUGCACAUCAAGGAUACUGUCUCUGCUAGCAACGGUAUUUUUCUGUUGCAACGUCAGAUAUUUAGCAUGAAAAAAAAUCGUUUGAACUUGGAAGACGUUAAACUUUCACUGCACGAACACAAGCCACAAUCAAUCACGGAACAAUGUUAUGGUUAUCUUUUAUUUGAUAUAGGAUUACAGAACAAUUGUCAUAUUUUAUCUGAAGUGUUCCUCCUUAUAGAUAACGAAAUGUAACAGCAGGAAAUUCCAUGUCUGCGUUUGCUGUGAAAUAUGUUUAUCAUAUCAAACUAGCUGUUUAAUUCAACGAGUUGUCAAAUAAUAUUCUUAUUUUAAUCAGUCCGCAACAUGAUUGUUAAAACAUAACAAAACUAAGCCUAGAAAGAAAAAAAAUACAAGUAGCCUGUUUCAAAUGGUUUUAAUGAAACAUUGUUAAAACAUGCACGAUAGUCAAUUAUGAUGCCUUAAUUAGUUUUGUCCUAUGGAUAGAAAUUAUCAAUAUUCUCUUUAGAAACAAUACAUGAAUUUUAUGAUCCAAGUAACAAAUAAUGAACAGGCUAUAGGCUGCCUUCUCCCGCUGCAUUAAAUACACACAAUUUACCAGCAUUGAUAUCAUCAUUUGAAAUGAUUUUGUUACUGUGAUGCUUUGCUGUUCACGAGUUGAGUAAAAUUUGGAAGUUGAAACUGAUACUUUCGUUGUGAAUAUUUAGAUCUAUUUGUUAUUGAAAUGAUUUUUUAAACUCAAAUCGCCAAUUAUAACGACAGGAUACAGCACAUUGCAAAAUAAAAUGCAGUCUCACGUAGACGAAAUCCAACAGCAAUGUAUGUAUUGGUAUACAACUGACUGACAUUUACGCAGUAAUGCACAGAUCAUGGAAAUAAUAAUGAAUAAACAUAAAGUAGAUAUACAUACACCAAGUAAAAUGAUCAGUCAAUCAUUUGGUUUUCGCUACAGUCAUGGUUCUUCAUUAUCUUCAUGUUAGGUGCAAACUGAUUUGGACAGCGUGAACUAAGCCUCUAGCAAGCAUGUGUCAUUUUUCUUUCGUAUUUAAAUCUAUAUACUAUUCAUAUUGUAAAUUGUCAAUAUUAUUGAGUAGCAUAACCAACAAGCCUGUAAUAUUUUGUAAUAACGCCAUUGUUACUGUCGACAGCGGUAAUGAACA